rnacentral:rRNA from 1 species
CAUUGACGACUUCUCUGGGACUCCUACUUUCCUUUCGUCCUCGGCGAGGGCCGCUCUGUCACCGUCAAGAACCGCCAACGCCGCCUCUUCACCAACAAUGCCAAUGAAAGUUGGAACCCCUACCAGGGCAAAAGCGUCUGGAGCCACGUCCACUUCGAGCACCCCGCCACCGUUGACACACUCGCCAUGAUCUCUGAUGAGAAUGAGGCCGUCAUCAACGACCUCAUGGCAUUCCAGGAGAGCAAGGAAUACUACGCCAAGAUCGGCAAGGCAUGGAAGCGUGGGUACCUCCUUUACGGACCGCCCGACACCGGCAAGUCCACCAUGAUCGCCGCCAUGGCCAACUUCCUCGACGACGGCGUCUAUGAGCUUGAGCUCACGACGGUCAAGAACAACAGCGAGUUGCGGAAGCUCUUCAUCGAGACCACAGGCAAGUCCAUCAUCGUCAUAGAGGACAUUGACCGCUUGGUCAACCUCACCGGAAAACGCAGCAAGGACAAGAAGACCGCAAAUGACAAGCCCAAGGUACCGGUAGAGCCGGAGAAGGAUGAUGUCACCAAGGUGACGCUCUCAGGCCUGCUUAACUUCAUCGACGGGCUGUGGUCUGCUUGCGGAGGUGAGCGAAUCAUCAUCUUCACGACGAACCAAAAGGAGAAAAUGGACCCGGCACUGAUCCGAGAGGGCAGGAUGGACAAGCAAAUCGAGAUGUCCUAUUGCCUCUUCGAGGGCUUCAAGGUGCUUGCCAAGAACUACCUGGAUGUCGUGGAGCAUGGUCUGUUUGGGGAGAUUCAACGGCUGCUCGAGGAGACCGACAUGUUGCCCACCGAUGUGGCAGACAACCUGAUGCCAAUGUCGACGAAGAAGAAGAGGGACCCUAAUUAGUGUUCAUCAGGCCUCAUUGAGGCGCUCAAGCAGGCCAAGGAAGACGCGGCAGCAGCAAAGGCGAAGGUGAAUGAGGAAGAUGAGGCAGAAGUGGAGAAAGCUGAGGAGAAAGAGGAGCAAAGGAGAAGAAAGAAAAGGAGAAAGACAACGGGAAGGGCGUAA